rnacentral:rRNA from 1 species
GAUGAACGCUGGCGGCGUGCCUAAUACAUGCAAGUCGAGCGAACGGACGCGAAGCUUGCUGCUCUGAUGUUAGCGGCGGACGGGUGAGUAACACGUGGAUAACCUACCUAUAAGACUGGGAUAACUUCGGGAAACCGUAUCUAAUACCGGAUAAUAUUUUGAACCGCAGGGUUCAAAAGUGAAAUACGGUCUUGCUGUCACGUAUAGAUGGAUCCGCGCUGCAUUAGCUAGUUGGUAAGUUAACGGCUUACCACGGCAACGAUGCAUAGCCGAGCUGAGAGGGUGAUCGCCCACACUGGAGCUGAGACGCGGUCCCGACUCCUACGGGAGGCCGCAGUCGGGAAUCUUCCGCAAUGGUCGAAAGCCUGACGGAGCAGCGCCGCGUGAGUGAUGACGGUCUUCGGAUCGUAAAACUCUGUUAUUAGUGAAGAACAUAUGUGUAAGUAACUGUGCACAUCUUGACGGUACCUAAUCAGAAAGCCACGGCUAACUACGUG